GUUUGAUCCUGGCUCAGAACGAACGCUGGCGGCAUGCCUAACACAUGCAAGUCGAACGAGACCUUCGGGUCUAGUGGCGCACGGGUGCGUAACGCGUGGGAAUCUGCCCUUAGGUACGGAAUAACUCAGAGAAAUUUGAGCUAAUACCGUAUGAUGACGUAAGUCCAAAGAUUUAUCGCCUAAGGAUGAGCCCGCGUAGGAUUAGCUAGUUGGUGAGGUAAAGGCUCACCAAGGCGACGAUCAGUA
rnacentral:rRNA from 1 species